rnacentral:misc_RNA from 1 species
GCCAAUCGCAGUGUACAUGAUCUUCCUUUUUUUCCCUAGGAAACAACACGUUUAAUUAUUAAAACACAACGUAUAUAUCAUCACUUGUCUGAUGUCUAAAGCCAUCUUUUUGAAGGCGGAUGGACUAUUCAAAUCAAAGAUUACAAGAAAAGAAUGUGGGAAAGGAAAGGAAGAUCAUGUACACUGCGAUUGGCAAAUCAAAUGAAUAUGCCGUUUAAUGAACAAAGACUAAACAACAGUAGCUGCUGAAUGAUGAUCCAGAAGGAGUUGUUCAAAAUCCUCUAAGCUUGGAAACAAAUCGUCACUGAAGAUUAUAUCUGGCAUGACAAUUUCAUUGCUUCCAAUAUCUUCAAGAACCUGGUCUUCUUCUUCUUCUUCUUCGUCUUCUUCUUCAUUUUUAAUUUUCACAUCUCGCAGCAAUUCAUCUUGAUCUGUGGAAGCCAUUGAAGAAGGAACUGUAUCCAAACAUUUAUCUUCGAUUGUUGACAUGUUGGGUUCAUUGGUUGCGGCUUGUUUAGCCAAGGAGGACUUAAUUCUGGUUCUGCCAGCGAGGGAAUUUCUGCGAGUAGGUUGCGCAUGGCUGUGCUCAGCAGUGUAGGUUAUGAUGAAUACUGAUGGAUCUGUACUACUUCUUUCUACUUGUUUUCUUGCCAAGCAUCCUUUUAAACUGCUACACCUAUAAUAGCUCCUUGGAUAUGGAGAUCCCUUGAUGGGUUUCUGCCCAUAUUUGCGCCAAGCCCACAUAUCAGAUGAGAGACCAUCUGACUUGACAUGUUUAACCACCCUUUUUUGCUGAUUCUUCCUCCCUUUUGAUUUGGCUGCCACGGAAGCAUCAUCACUUCUGCUUGCAGGAGUAGCAGAUUCAGAAAGAGAGUGUUUCUUCUGCAGUUUCUCUGGCUCUUCGUCCUCACAGAUGGGAAUAGACAUAGAACUUAUGACACUAAGGUUGCU